AUGCCUCUUUGGACGUGCGAUGCGGAAAAACGUUGCGCAUCGGGACAGGCAUAUGAAAAGAUAGCUACGUCCCGUCAGGACCCCCGGCUUGGCCGGGCUAUAAAUAGCUCUGGCGCGGCCCAAGCGAGUCUCUUUGUACGGCCGGAAGGACACCUCUGUAUGUGUGUCUGCCUCUGUCUGUCGGCUGAGCUCCGGGGAGGUCCUGGGAGCGUGCCGCACACAGGGCCCUGAUCGCCGCGGGUGGUUCCACAGCACCGGCGGGAGGGGUUUUAAGAUGCCCGCUCGUGAGUUACUCUUGGGGGAAAGAAUGAGGUAUUUGGAGCCCCACGUGGGAGAAGUGCCCCUUUAUGGGGAUUUUGCUCUAACCUGAGAACUGGAAGCCUAAAGUCUGCUGAAGGUUGAGUCUACCAGUUGGACCUAGGAUGGCCAGAAUGCCUGGGUGAUGGCUCCUGCUGUUUGAAGUGGAGUGUGUCCUUGCCUUGGAUUUUGCUGAUACAAGGGAUGAUGUCCACCUGUUGCACAGGUCUUAGAAGAUUGCUGAUUUUCCUGAUUAACCUGUGAACACCAAGAUGAUGGAAAACUCCCUAGAACUCUGAAGUGCAGUGGUUACAGGGUAUGGUGGGGCUUUACCAAAAGAUGACAAUAAAAUAUUUUAAG